rnacentral:rRNA from 1 species
UACGUAGGGUGCGAACGUUAAUCGGAAUUACUGGGCGUAAAGCGUGCGCAGGCGGUUCGUUAAGUCAGAUGUGAAAGCCCCGGGCUCAACCUGGGAACUGCAUUUGAAACUGGCGGGCUUGAGUGUGGCAGAGGGGGGUGGAAUUCCGCGUGUAGCAGUGAAAUGCGUAGAGAUGCGGAGGAACACCGAUGGCGAAGGCAGCCCCCUGGGCCAACACUGACGCUCAGGCACGAAAGCGCGGGGAGCAAACAGG